rnacentral:rRNA from 1 species
CAAAAACAUGUCCUUUUGUUUAUUUAUUUAAGGUCUGGCCUGCCCAAUGAGGUUUUGAAUGGCCGCAGUAUCCUAACUGUGCUAAGGUAGCAUAAUCAUUUGUCUUUUAAUUGAGGGCUUGUAUGAAAGGUUGGACAAGAUAUUAACUUUCUUUAAUUUAAUUUUAAGAAAGUUAAUAUCUAAGUUAAAAAGCUUAAAUUUUUUUGUUGGACGAGAAGACCCUAUAGAUCUUUAUAGUUUUUAGUUUUAGUAAUUUAGUGGUUAAUUUAUUUGGAGUGAAAAAAUNNNNNUAGAAUUUUAUGAACUUCUAUUUUUAUAUUUCAUAUGUUAGUGUUUUUUUGAUCCAUAUAUUUAUGAUUAGAAGAUUAAGUUACCUUAGGGAUAACAGCGUAAUUUCUUUGGAGAGUUCAUAUUGAUAAAGGAGUUUGCGACCUCGAUGUUGGAUUAAAAUGAGUUAUGGAUGCAGAAGUCUAUAUACUGGGUCUUUCGACCCUUAAUUUUUUACAUGAUCUGAGUUCAAACCGGAGA